rnacentral:lncRNA from 1 species
CAUCUCUAUGACAACACUUCACACUGUUUUGUAAUAAUUUACAGAGUUGUCACCUCCAUCAGACAGUGAACUGAAGGAUGAGAGCAGUGCUAUAAUAAUUUUAGAAGAUCUCAGCCAUAAUUACUGCCUGCUAUACACAGUAGAAACUCAGAAAAUGAGACCCACCAGAGUGGAAGGAACAUGUCGUUUUCAUGCUCAAGUUCCUUCAGCAACUCCAUCAGAGAACAAAGCCCAAAGACAGCCUGAAAUCCAGAAAGUGUGGGUUGUAUGCCCACACCAACAGCAAGCACUGGAGUCAUCCCAGAGGAGCCACAGGGACUGA